rnacentral:rRNA from 1 species
AGCAGUCGCACGGUAAUACGAAGGGGGCUAGCGUUGUUCGGAAUCACUGGGCGUAAAGGGUGCGUAGGCGGAUUCUUAAGUCAGGGGUGAAAUCCCGAGGCUCAACCUCGGAACUGCCUUUGAUACUGGGGAUCUUGAGUCCGGAAGAGGUGAGUGGAACUGCGAGUGUAGAGGUGAAAUUCGUAGAUAUUCGCAAGAACACCGGUGGCGAAGGCGGCUCACUGGUCCGGAACUGACGCUGAGGCACGACAGCGUGGGGAGCAAACAGGAUUAGAUACCCGCGUAGUCCCUGUCUCUUAUACC